UACGUAGGGCGCAAGGCGUUAUCCGGAAUUAUUUGGGCGUAAAGAGCUCGUAGGCGGUUUGUCGCGUCUGACUGUGAAAGACCGGGGCUCAACUCCGGUUCUGCAGUGGGUACGGGCAGACUAGAGUGAUGUAGGGGAGACUGGAAUUCCUGGUGUAGCGGUGAAAUGCGCAGAUAUCAGGAGGAACACCGAUGGCGAAGGCAGGUCUCUGGGCGAUUAACUGACGCUGAGGAGCGAAAGCAUGGGGAGCGAACAGG
rnacentral:rRNA from 1 species